GAUGAAGAACGCAGCGAAAUGCGAUACGUAAUGUGAAUUGCAGAAUUCAGUGAAUCAUCGAAUCUUUGAACGCAUAUUGCGUUCUUUGGUAUUCCGAAGAGCAUGCUUGUUUGAGUAUCAGUAAACACCUCAAAGACUUCAAUUUGUUUUGAAUGGCUUUGGACUUGAGCAAUCCCAACACCAGUCUUUACGAUCGGUGGAGGGUUGCUUGAAAUGCAGGUGCAGCUGGACAUUCUCCUGAGCUAAAAGCAUAUUUAUUUAGUCCCGUCAAACGGAUUAUUACUUUUGCUGCAGCUAACAUAAAGGGAGUUUGACCGUAUUGGAUGACUGAUGCAGGAUUUCACAAGGGUCGGCAACGAUUCUUGUAAAACUCGAUCUCAAAUCAAGUAAGACUACCCGCUGAACUUAAGCAUAUCAAUAAGCGGAGGA
rnacentral:misc_RNA from 1 species